ACCUGGGUAGCUUAGUUGGUUAAGCAUCUGACUUCGGCUCAGUUCAUGAUCUUGUGGGUUUGAGCCCCACAUAGGGCU
rnacentral:tRNA from 1 species